CGCGAAUCAAGAUAAGUACGAACCAUCUUGGGUAUUUGUCAAAAGUGUAGCGAUGAACGCUGAGUUUAACCGAAUGAGGCUUGAAGACUGCAACAUGUCUUUUGAUCGGCUCUAGUCGAGCCGCUGCUGCAUAAUAAGAACCAAUUAGAAUCGACCUUUUAAAUAGAGUGUGUUAUGAUAUUUUCUAGAGUCCCCGGAUGAAAACCUGCUUUAACUUUUUGUAACUGAGUCAAAAAUAAUACAGAAAAAAUGCCUCCGAAACAAGGGAAAUCUUGAUGCUACACUAAAUGUAAUUCUUCUGGGCGACAGUGGCUAGGCCUGAGUCCCUUCCUACUCACCCCCAUAAGGAAUCCUCGUCCCCAACAGGAAGAGCGAUACAACCGCAGACACAAGAGGGGUUGGGAAGUUGUGGAACGUGGAUUUGGGAUAUUAAAGUCCAGAUUCAGGUAGAGGGGACCCUGAGGCUGAUAUGCGGGCCACAUUAUAGAGGUCUUUUUGCCAAGAAGUGCCAGAAGAGGGAGUGCCAAAAAGACAAGACAGUCAAGAUGAUGAAAGCAGCCAUGGGAUUUUCAUUGCUAAAGGACGAAAUAACCGACCUUUUAGGUGAUGAACAGGAAUGGGAUUUUGUAAAGGCUGUCAUAACUGGACAACACAGAAACAAAUAAAUAAUUAAAUUAUUAACUUGCCAGGGGUUCUGAAAUAUGCUGUCCGAGUUGUCCGAGUCGUCAAUUUCCCCUUCCGGACAAGCAGUUUUUGAAAGCUGACUUGUCCGGGGACAAGUAAAAUUUCCGUGGUAAUUUUUUUUCGAGAACGAAACUACUCUAUUUUCCGAAAAUCAAAAACGAAAGUUUAUAUAAAUAGCUUAUGAUUAAUCUGCGGACUGGCACACUUUUUCAACUGGAGGUAGUUUAUUUUCCGAUAAUAAUUAUUUAAUGUAGUAAACCAGUCCACGAGUAUAUAUAGCAACAUACGACGCCAAGCGGAAACGAGAAUUUGUUGAGUCUUGGCUGAUUGAUUUCCCUUGGCUUGAAAACGUUGCCAAUGUGUGUAAAUGUAAACUUUGUAAGGAGUUUCUUUUAUUAGCAGAUAAUUAUAUACUUAUA